rnacentral:lncRNA from 1 species
GUUCGUUCGAGGCAAAGUAGGCGGGAUGUGGGUCUAUAGUUGCUACCUGGCGCCCAGCCUCCCGCUGGAGACCUUCAGCCGCAUCAUAGACGAGCUGAUCGGAGACCUGCGAGGACGAAGCGUCGUCGUGGUCGGGGGCGACUUCAAUGCCUGGGCCCAGGAGUGGGGGUCCUCCCGAACCAACGCUAGAGGACGCACGCUGCUGGAGGCCUUCGCAACCUUGGACAUGGUGCUGCUCAAUGAAGGACACCAACAAACGUUCAGCAGGGGAGGCAUGGGGUCAGUCAUCGACCUCACAUUCGCCAGCAGAGCGUUGGCCAGAACCGCUUGUUGGAAAAUCAGCAACGCCUACACCGCUAGCGACCACGAGGCCAUCGAGUGCGUGUUUGGCGAACCGGACCCAGGAAGAGCAGCCCCUACUCAGACCCAGAAUAGGAAGGCGUAUCGGCAGGCCACGCUGAUGACACAGGCCUUCGCAAGCGCCCUUCGUACCCACACGGCACCAGAGACCGGUGGAGCCAACGAGUGGGCGACCCAGCUGGGGGAGGCAGUGGAAGCGGCUUGCGACCAGAGCAUGCUACAGCGAAGUGCGUUUGGGAAACACCAUGCCCCAGUCUUCUGGUGGAACGAGGACAUCGCCGAGCUCCGCAAAAUCUGCCACAGAGCGAGAAGACAGCUCCAACGAGCCAGGGGAACUCCGCGUCUAGUGACUUGCUGCGAGGCAUACAAAGUCGCGCGGAAGGAGUUGAAGACCGCCAUCAGAGACAGCAAAAGAGAGUGCUUCCUCAAGCUGUGCGACGCCGCAGAGGAGGACCCCUGGGGAGGCGCCUACAAGAUGGUGGUAAAGAACAUCAACGCCGGAAGCAGAGCCCCGACAGACCCAGUAGUGCUGGAGGGGAUAGUUAGGACCUUGUUCCCGCAAGGGCGGCCCAUAACAACAUCCCCGAGCCCAGAGCACAGCCUGGACGACAUCCGCGAGGUCACGGAGGAAGAGGUGCUGCGGGCAGGCAGAGACCUGAACCCCAAGAAGGCUCCGGGGCCGGACGCGAUUCCCAACCGAGCGACGAAGCUGGCACUAGCGCUGAUCCCAAGCGAGGUCAUGGGUCUGUUCAACAGAUGCCUACACGAGGGUACGUUCCCAUCGAGGUGGAAGAGGCAACGGCUCCUUUUGCUGUCCAAGCCGGGCAAGCCGCCGGGUGAGGCAUCCUCGUACAGGCCCAUCUGCCUCCUGGACACGAUAGGGAAGGUCUUCGAGAAGGUGAUCGCCACGAGGCUGAGCGCAGCCAUCGAAGCAGCAGGCGGCCUA